rnacentral:rRNA from 1 species
GAAGGUGGCAAGCGUUAUUCGGAUUUACUGGGCGUACAGGGAGCGUAGGCGGUACGGUAAGCCCUUUGUGAAAUCUCCAGGCUUAACCUGGAACAGUCGGAGGGGACUGCUGGGCUAGAGGACGGGAGAGGAGCGCGGAAUUCCCGGUGUAGCGGUGAAAUGCGUAGAGAUCGGGAGGAAGGCCGGUGGCGAAGGCGGCGCUCUGGAACGUUUCUGACGCUGAGGCUCGAAAGCGUGGGGAGCAAACAGGAUUAGAUACCCUGGUAGUCCACGCCUUAAACUAUGAAUACUAAGUGUCGGCGGGUUACCGCCGGUGCCGCAGCUAACGCAUUAAGUAUUCCGCCUGGGAAGUACGGCCGCAAGGUUG